GAGAGCAGGUUGCAGUCUUCGGGCGGGCAUUCUGAGCAACGAGCCAGAUGUGAAUCGCGUCGACAUAUUACGAACAGUUGACAAUUUAGACUCUCUAAAUCCAAAUCCUCGAUUCAUAUGAGACUGAACUCCUCAACACCAUCAUCAGUGGAGAUGGCGGCCAUCAAACCAAGGUAAUCGAUAGAGAGCGUUGCUGCCAAAGCAAGUGCACCACUUGCGCGACAUUUGCAGACAAAAGCUGCAAAUAAGUGAGCACGAAGGAGAGGAAAACCAAAGGAUCAAGUCAAGUGGAUUGAAGAAAUGGCGUCGUCGGCUGGAGGCAGCGGUGGCUGCGACGCCACCAAGAAGUACUUUUGCCCACGAUUGAUCGACUAUUUGGCCAUUGUUGGAUCACGACGUCCUGCCAGCUAUUCUGCCGGAUCACGCAGUAAAGCUCCUCCUCCAUCUGGUGGAACUAUUGGGUCAGCAACUCCAUUAAAUGCAUCUGCACGCGGAGGACAUGCAACGUCGGUGACACCCGAGCUUUUACGUCGCUACCCGAUCGAUGAUCAUGCCGAUUUCCCGCUGCCGCUCGAUAUGGUCUACUUUUGCCAGCCAGAAGGCUGCCUCUCUAUGGGCAAUCGACGGCCUGGAGACCAUCGUCGCGAUAUUGACUCGUUCGUCUUCACGCUCACCGAUAAGGAUUCCGGAAAGACGAGGUACGGCGUGUGCAUUAAUUUCUUCCGGCCCGUUGAACGUCUUCCGUCCACGACGUCCGUCUCAUCAAGGCGUGACUCGUGGAGGGAUUCCAUUCAUAGGAGUUCCGACUCCGCCUUUUCCAGCGACCAACGGAGUACAAUGGCGCCCAGUGAUUCGGAUCGAGAUUGCUCUAGUGCCCAUCGCUAUCAUCCUGCAGAUCCGGUUUCUGGAGGUGUACCUGUGGGCGUCAAAUGGCCUCCUCAUUCAGCUGGACCGACGGGUCCCAAUCAAGGUCAGGACUCUGAAAGUGGGGGAUCUCAACCGCCUUCGCCAAGAGCUAGCCGUCGGAGACAGCGGUCACGGUAUCAAUACAUGACGUCAAUCUGCCUCCUGUCCCACCACCCCUUCUUCAGCCUGUUCCGCGAGUGCCUUGUCGUCCUCAAGAAGCUAAUUGACGCAUGUCACGAAAAUUCCUCACCUAAGCGACUGGGCGCCUCGCGUUUGACGUCCAGGGACUCGGUAUGGGGAUUGUUAACGGGCCAAACAACAGAAGCUUCGUCAUCCAUAGUGCUGCAUGACGUUCGUGACAUUGAGACAUGGAUCCUUCGUCUUCUUAGCGCUCCGGUGCCUAUACCUGGCAAAACGCGAGUGGAACUUGAAAUUUUGCCUCGUUCUCUCCAGCCUACGCCUUUAGUAUUCGCCCUGCCCGACCACACCCGUUUCCCUAUGGUCGAUUUCCCUCUACAUUUACCUCUGGAGUUGCUGGGCGUUGAUACCUGUCUCAAGGUGUUGACGCUCAUUAUGCUCGAGCACAAGGUAAUCAUGCAGUCACGCGAUUACAACGCUCUUUCCAUGUCCGUGCUGGCCUUCGUUACGAUGCUCUAUCCGCUCGAGUACAUGUUCCCCGUCAUCCCACUCUUGCCAACUUGCAUGAGCUGUGCCGAACAGCUCUUGCUAGCACCAACGCCUUACAUCAUCGGCAUUUCGGGGACGUUCUUCCAGCAUAAGAAACAUUUCAAGUUGCCGGACGACGUCUGGCUCAUCGAUCUAGACUCGAACCGCAUCAGCGUCCCCUCAAGGGCAGAUGAUGUUCCACCGCUACCCGAACCCGAAUGCAGCAUUUUACGUAAUCAUUUGCGUCAAGCAUUAACAAGCAUGAGCGGUGAAGCCAUUCGACCUGCCGAAAGUAUGGUCAAUCAACAGCAACAUCAUCAUCGUGGAAGUCACGAUUUUUCAGCAUCGUCAGAAAUGGCCCAGGGCCACUUCAGUCCGUUCAUCUAUGGAAAUGACGUCGAUUCGGUGGAUAUUGCCACGCGAGUUGCCAUGGUGCGAUUCUUCAAUUCGCAGAAUUUGCUGGCCAAUUUCGCCGAACAUACGCGUACUCUUAGACUCUAUCCAAGACCUGUUGUAGCCUUCCAGAUCAAUAGUUUUCUCAGGUCGCGGCCGAGAGCUGGACCGUUCCUUCACAAAUUUGCUCGGACUCAGGCUGUCGAGUUUUUGGCGGAAUGGAGUCUGGCGCCGACAAACGUGGCCUUUUUGCGUGUUCAAACGGGCGUUUUCGAUCCGGCCAUCAUUGGCGACAAAUACAAGUGGUUCAGCGAUCAAUACGAGCCGCUACAAUUCGUCGUCUGGGACGAGGCCAGUUCGAUGGACAGCGCUCUACGAUCGCUCGGCAAACACGAUCAAAUUCAAACGGACGAAAGCGGGUCGGAUUCUGAAGGCGGAGGGAGUUCGACGUCGUCUUAUUCAUCCUUAAGUGAUCUCGUGUCUGAACAACGAACACCCGAUGCGUCUCCUGGCCCUGCACUUCAAGCGGUACCCAUGACGUUGUCAAGUGGAAUUGAUCUCAAAUCAAUCUAUCGCCCUCCAUCUACCUUACAACUUCCGGGUGGUGGACCAGGGUUGGAGUUAAACGAAUCAGCCUUUUCCCAGCCUGAGUCGAUGUCUUCAUCAUCAUCGCAAAGUUCUAUCGGAUCAUCUCAUGGCAUCCAGACUGAGUUGGCUGCCGAGAGUGAGACCGUCAUCUCGCAACCUCGUAAUAUCUCAGAGGAUAAGACUGACGACGUCUUUAACGCCUCCGAUUCUGACACUGUGGUACCGAGCGUUAGUCAUGAGUCAACGACCAACAGGAAUUUGUCGCUUGAUAGCGUCCCAGCCUUGGAAAAUGAGAUUACCCAUUCGAAAAUAAUUACGAGGCCAUCUAGCAUCAGCGUGAUGACGGAUCGAUCCUUGAGUACAGGUUCCAGUGGCUCCAACAAUUCCGGGAACGCCAAUCGCCAAAGCAGCCAGACUUCGUUAUUUGAACAACUGGCAUCCCAAGCAAAGGAUCUUGUUCGUGAGAGCACAAGACAAAGUAGUCAAGAAAAGCUAUUGGCCCAAAUGGACAAGUUUCGGAUUCAAGCCAAAGAGAAGAUUUCAGAUGCUGCACGCCAAACAAGCGAAGAUGGAUUUUUCAAUCCAUCUACGUUAGAACAAUUUACUGCUGGAGCCCGCAGAGCAGCAGAGGAGGCCAGCCGAAGUGUCCAGGAAGCGUCACGAACGCUUAAAGAAGCUUCGGAAGACAUAACGGCUGUUAGUAAGAACACAAUCGGGGAUUUUACAAAAAGUGCAAAGCAUGCUGCUGCAAAGGGAGGGUUAUUAAAGGCUCUGGGAAGCUCCCGAGAAUCAUCCAGCAAUCUUUCAGCAGGAUUACGCUCCUUAGGAUCAUUGGGUUCACUCACGUCGCGUAGUUCCAUAACUCUUUCGGAACCACCGCUGGCUCAAUUGCAGCAACAACAACAAGAGAUUCAACAGCCUCAACCAGCUAGCCACGCCGGUAAACUCGUUCGUAGCGACAGUGUCAGUAGUCAGCGUGAUGGUCUGUCCGGUGGACGAGAUUUCCUAUCGAGUGUAAGCAGCGAACUCAAUGGAUUAGCAGCCCAAACGACAAGCAUGUUUAGCGGUUUAUUUGGUUCAAAAGGUUCCAAUCGUAACCAACAGAAUGUUCCUCAACCUUUCCGUUUACAUCCGCAAGAAUCGUCACGACGGUCUAAAGAACGUCAGCCACCGUUUGGUCCAUUCCCUAGAACUAGCAGACGUGGUUUAGUGGAGAAAUCCUCUUUGAUACGGCAUACUUCGUCGGCCAAGCCCAAACGACCCGACAAUGCCCAGCCAUCGCAGAUUGGUGAUCGCUCAGCCAAUGCCAUCGAUAGUCAGACUCUACUGAAAGAUGCGGUGAAUCAAGUAAUAGAAGGAGAAGGUGUUGGUUGGUUAAAACUGAACCGAAUCCGGAAAUUGAUGGAAGAUGAAAACUAUCGUAAUCUCGUCGUCAGUAGGCUCAACAAGACGCUCGAUCAAAAGAUUGGUCCUGAUGAACACAUUGACGAUGUGUGCGUGAGUCGUGCUGUGUGGAAGGGAAUGCUGAAAAUGUUGAUAGCUGUCACCGCAGGCCUGGAGCAGACGUACAUCAAUCACGGCUCGGGGGGUAUGGCAUCCUCAUUCCAGUUGCUGGAAAUCGCUCACACCCAUUAUUGGACGAAAGACGUGAGUGAUGGCAAGUUUUCGGAUUUCGCUUCGACCAGCCUCAGCACUGCGCAAGCGUCAUUGCGUGGCAGUCCAAUGGGCAGUCGAGAAAACCUACCGUCACCUCAUAGUCCACGGACGAGUGUUUUGGCUACAGAGUCAGACAGAAGUUAUAGCAAUUCACCAGAAACAGCUGGAACGCCGGUUCCAUCUCGAAUGUCACGAAGCGAUGCGUCCAGCCCAGAGCCAGGCAAUCCAGACAUACUGCGCGAACUGCUGGAGCGGAAACGAAACCUUAUGUUGCUCUCUCUGCAAGGGGAAUCUCAAACUAGUCUUGCAAGUGGCGACGGGCAAGGAUCGUGCAGUGCUUCUGAAGCUGGGAGUAUCAUUACCAAUCCGGCGUUUUAUCGUCAAAAACUCUCUCAUCAAUCGUUUAGAAGCACCAUGUCGGAUGGAGAGUCAGACCAACAACAGGUUGUUCGUGGUUUCGUUCGACAAAAUGCGGCCGGUUGGUCAUCGAAAUCUUCCAUUACGACAGGCUAUCGCUAUCAUGCUGGUAACAUGGUAACGACAGCCGGCACUCCGAGUCCGGAAUCCGUGCGAAUGUAUAUUUUCGAAGGACUUCUUGGAAAGGAUCGAUCCAGUUUGUGGGAUCAGAGUCAAUUCUGGGAAGACGCGUUUUUAGACGCAGUUUCGCAAGAAAGAGAUCUAGUCGGUAUGGAUCAAGGGCCCGGUGAAAUGAUGGAAAGGUAUAAAUCUCUGAGCGAAACGGAACGGAAGAGAUUGGAACACGAAGAAGAUCGAUUGCUUUCAACGUUGCUUUAUAAUUUGGUGGCUUUUAUGGUGAUGGUCGAUGUCGAUAAAACGGAGCUGAAACGCAAAGUGAGACGAUUGCUGGGCAAAUCUCAUAUAGGACUUGCGUAUAGCCACGAAGUCCAUCAGCUCUUAGAUCAAGUUGAACAUUUGAGAGGGAACGACAUUGACUUGAAGCCGUUCGCUUCGCGACAAAUGCACAGACACAGUUUCACCGUUCAGGUAGGGACGGAUGCGUCGGGUGACCUCCGCUUUUUGGAAGUUCGAGACGAUGGUCUGAUUCUGCGGGCUGUUAGCGGUGCCAUCAUGGAACGCUGGUGGUUUGAGCGGGUUGUUAACAUGACCUACAGCCCCAAAACCAAAAUCCUCUGCCUAUGGCGGCGCAAUGGGGGACAAACCCAGCUGCACAAAUACUACACCAAAAAGUGCAAGGCGUUGUACUAUUGCAUCAAAGAGGCAAUGGAAAGAGCUGCAGCUAGAGGUGCCGGUGCACUACCUGGAAUGGAACUGGGCGGUGAAUUCCCAAUCCAGGAUUUGCGGACUGGUGAAGGCGGACUGCUUCAAGUCUGCAUCGAAGGUGUUGGUCUCCUCUUCGCCAACAGUAAAUUUUUCGUUCGGCUGGAUUACAUCCGCAAGUGCUUCACCCAGAAAGGCGGCAUCUUCGUCCUCGAAGAAUACAAUCCCAAAACGAGACAAAUUCUUCAACGUCGAUACCAAUCGGCCAUGGCCAACGAGAUGGCAUUAGCAAUCCAUCGUGUCUUUUCUGUCCGACUGUCUAUAGCCGGUCAACAGUCUUAAGUUGAUGUCUUUCAGUUGAUGUGAGUCGCUCUUGGAGAUUUUGCAUCCGCAUCUGUUAUUCUGUUUCGUUAUUGUGAUCCAGCAAGGCAAGUUUUCCUCAGCCUUUCAACGUAUUUAGUUGUUAGUUUGGCAUGUAGCAGAAAAACGAGCGGACCAGAUAUGUUACGCCGUUCUCUGCGUGUUCUCUUAUGUGGCCGCUGGGAGCGAGCAGCGUAAAAAGGUGGAACCGAACUGAAAGCUCAUCAAUUGACCAAAGCACCAUACAUCGGUGUAUUUGCUUCGUUUUUAUUAUUUGAUUUGUUGUAUGUAUUGAUUAUACUCGUCCGUUCACGAGACGGCGCAAUAAUUAUUUAAUUCUAGCCAGUCAUGAAAAUCCUAUUGGUAGUUGGAAAAUACUACAUUGAUUGUUUGCUUUUAGUAUGUAUAAGUAUUACGUAAUGAGUAUGAAAUUGUUGGAUCCUUUGAUCAUAUCACUUGAGCGAUGGUUAUUAUACAGCUAUCGUGCUUUUCAUUGUUUUCGAAUAAGCCAACGCUUCAGCAGAAAGAAAAUAAAAAGAAAAUGGCUCUCCGAUUAGACGAAAUAAUUGGAAACAACAAUAAAAGAAGUUCGAUAUUG